AUGCUCAAACGCCCAGAACUGGCUUUUUUCGGCAACUUUGGCAGCUCUCCCACCCCCACCCGAAGGGGCAGCGUCUCCCUCGACUCCGCUUAGGAAGUGGUGGGGGUGGCGUGGCCCCCGUCGGGAGGCGUUCGAACGCCCGCUCGGAGAGAGAAAGGAUUCCCCUGUGUUUGGAGCCCGCACUCGGGCGCGGAGGGAGCGGCGGCAGGCUCUCGCUCUCGGCACCAUGGGCUGCACGCUGAGCGCCGAGGACAAGGCGGCGGUGGAGCGGAGUAAGAUGAUCGACCGCAACCUCCGCGAGGACGGCGAGAAGGCGGCGCGCGAGGUCAAGCUGCUGCUGCUGGGCGCUGGUGAAUCUGGUAAAAGUACAAUUGUGAAGCAGAUGAAAAUUAUCCAUGAAGCUGGUUAUUCAGAAGAGGAGUGUAAACAAUACAAAGCAGUGGUCUACAGUAACACCAUCCAGUCAAUUAUUGCUAUCAUUAGGGCUAUGGGGAGGUUGAAGAUAGACUUUGGUGACUCAGCCCGGGCGG
rnacentral:sRNA from 1 species